rnacentral:rRNA from 1 species
AUUGAACGCUGGCGGCAGGCCUAACACAUGCAAGUCGAACGAGUGGCGGACGGGUGAGUAAUGUCUGGGAAACUGCCCGAUGGAGGGGGAUAACUACUGGAACCGGUAGCUAAUACCGCAUACCAUCGGAUGUGCCCAGAUUGGAUUAGCUUGUUGGUGGGGUAACGGCUCACCAAGGCGACGAUCCCUAGCUGGUCGGAGAGGAUGACCAGUCACACUGGAACGGAGACACGGGCCAGACUCCUACGUGAGGCAGCAGUGGGGAAUAGUGCACAAUGGGCGCAAGCCUGAUGCAGCCAUGCCGCGUGUAUGAAGAAGGCCUUCGGGUUGUAAAGUACGUUCAGCGGGGAGGCGUUACCCGCAGAAGAAGCACCGGCUAACUCCGUGCCAGCCGCCGCGGUAAUAC